rnacentral:rRNA from 1 species
UACGUAGGGGGCAAGCGUUGUCCGGAAUUAUUGGGCGUAAAGAGCGCGUAGGCGGUCCGGUAAGUCGGCUGUGAAAGUCAAGGGCUCAACCCUUGAAAGCCGGCCGAUACUGUCGGACUAGAGUCCGGAAGAGGCGAGUGGAAUUCCCGGUGUAGCGGUGAAAUGCGCAGAUAUCGGGAGGAACACCAAUGGCGAAGGCAGCUCGCUGGGA